rnacentral:tRNA from 9 species
CGGGGUGUAGCGCAGCCCGGUUAGCGCGCUUCGUUCGGGACGAAGAGGUCGGGAGUUCGAAUCUCCCCACCCCGACAA